GGAAUGACACUAGCUAGUUCCAUAUCCAUCUCUCUCUUGCUAAAAACUUCUUGAUCACCUAACAAGCUUCAACCGAUUCUCUUGCCAUGGCUACGAAGCUCAAGGUGCUGCCUCUUCUGUUCCUUCUCCUGGUGGGGGGUCUCGUCCUUGUGGCUCAAGCAAGACCUCUUAAGGUAUUGGAGCAAGACGGUGCGGCCGGGGGAGUCGAUGACUUGGUGAGAGACUUGCUUCUGGGAGCGACCAAGCAUGCAGGCCCCAGUAAUGGAGGCGCAGGGCAUGGGUUCGCAAAGUACUUCCCUGUCGGGGCGCUGAAAGACUCCGGGCCAAGCCCUGGAGCUGGGCAUUAGAAGAUGGUGUUGGUCGUCUUCCCUAGCUAGUUUAAUUACACAACUAUGUGAUUAGUGAUAAGUCCUGCAAGUUUCUUUAAGUCUUUUUGUUCCUUUCGAAAAGAAAGAGGGGGGAGGGCUUCAAGGUAGCUUCUUGGACUAGUUUAUUUUUAUUGAUUUAUUGUUUCUAAUAGCUGUUACGUGUAUACAUAACAUAAGAUUGGGGGGGGAUUCAAGGUAGCUUCUUUGGUUAGGUUAUUUUCAUUGAUUUAUUGUUUCUAAUAGUUGUUACGCGCGUGUAUGCAUAAUAUAAGAUUGGGUAUAUAGAAAGGAUGCCAUUAUUCGUUCGUUUAAUAUUAUGAGCAUAUCUAUCAAGUUAGUUCUUUAAUGGUGACUCAAAGUGCUUGGGAACGUAUGGCUACUGACAUGCUAGUUGAUGUGCCUUUCUAAAUAUUUGUGUGUGAGAGAGAGUCAUUUGGACACGUAUGUUGAACGUGGCUUGUCCAUGUCAUUUUAACUUAUUGCAGAACUUCUGCCAUGCUUAAUUUCUAUAGAAUGUUUUGACCAUACAUUACAUGGAUGUCUCUAAUAAUAUAUUACAUAUGUAUGUACAUAGGAAAGAAUGCACCAGGAAACAUGAACCAUAGCGAGGGG
rnacentral:lncRNA from 1 species